GUGUUGACCAACAUGUUUUGGGAUUUCUUUGAGAAAAACAAAGUGCUUGAAGCGGAUUUUAGUGAUGAAUGAUUGAGCAUGGUACAAGUCUGAAGGGGAUAGAAAUAUUGCUGGAGGAUGAUUAGAAGGAUUCGACGGGGUAAUAAAGAAAAUUGUGGGAGAGGUGAAAAUUCAUGAUCACAAUAAGAUUGUCUAGAGCGAAAGCAUUUUACCAGCACGGAUUCAUUAAUCAAGAACGACAGUUAGGGGAUCGAAGACGAUUAGAUACCGUCGUAGUCCUGACUAUAAACGAUAUGAACUGAAGAUUAUACCUGUACAGAAAGGGAACCUCUUUUUUAUUUCGGUAAGAAAUGUUUCCGAAUUGUUAGGUAUAACAAUCAAGGCCUCUGUGGGAUUCAAGGAGAAAUCCUUGAGUCUCUACAUUUCAGGGGGAGUAUGGUUGCAAGGCUGAAACUUAAAGGAAUUGACGGAAGGGCACACCAGGAGUGGAGCCUGCGGCUUAAUUUGACUCAACACGGGAAAACUUACCAAGACCGAACAUUAGAGGGAUUGACAGAUUUAGGGUUCUUUCAAGAUUUAAAGAGGAGUGGUGCAUGGCCGUUCUUAGUUCGUGGACUGGUUUGUCUGGUUAAUUCCGAUAACGAACGAGACUGGAACCUAUUAAUUAGUAUAUCUUCGACAGGGGAUAUCAUGCGAAAGCAUAUUAGGAAUUAAAUUUCUUAGAGGGACAACUUUUAGAUAGUCCUCCCAGCGGUAUAUGAGUACUAACCGUACUUUUUAUUUCUGGAGGGAUUAAUGAAAGGGAAGCGUUCAGCAAUAACAGGUCUGUGAUGCCCUUAGACAUCUUGGGCCGCACGCGCGCUACAAUGGAAGAAGAUAAGAGUUUAGUCAAGGAAUUAUUUCAUUUGGUUCUGCCAAGUGGAGUGAU
rnacentral:rRNA from 1 species